rnacentral:rRNA from 1 species
AUUGAACGCUGGCGGUAUGCUUAACACAUGCAAGUCGAACGAUGAGAAAGAGCUUGCUCUUUCGAUUAGUGGCGGACGGGUGCGUAACGCGUAGGAAUCUACCUAUUAGUGGGGGACAACUUAGGGAAACUUAAGCUAAUACCGCAUACGCCCUACGGGGGAAAGAAGGGGAUCGCAAGACCUUUUGCUAAUAGAUGAGCCUGCGUAGGGUUAGCUAGUUGGUGGGGUAAAAGCUCACCAAGGCGACGAUCCUUAACUGGUUAGAGAGAAUGAUCAGUCAAUCUUGCACUGGGACACGGUCCAGACUCCUGCGUGAGGCAGCAUUGGAGAAUAUUGGAAAAUGCGCGAAAGCCUGAUCCAGCAACACCGCGUGUGUGAAGAAGGCCUUAGGGUUGUAAAGCACUUUCAAUUGGAAGGAAAACCUCGAAGCUAAUACCUUCGAGUUUGACAUUACCUUUAGAAGAAGCACCGGCUAACUCCGUGCCAGCCGCCGCAGUAA